rnacentral:rRNA from 1 species
CUACGGGCCGCUGCAGUGGGGAAUAUUGCGCAAUGGGGGCAACCCUGACGCAGCAACGCCGUGUGAGCGAGGAAGGCCUUCGGGUUGUAAAGCUCUGUCAAGGUGGAAAAAUGGUCAGCGUCUAAUAGGCGUCUGAUUUGAUGGUACACCUAAAGGAAGCACCGGCUAACUUCGUGCCAGCAGCCGCGGUAAUACGAAGGGUGCAAGCGUUGUUCGGAUUUAUUGGGCGUAAAGGGCGCGUAGGCGGAUGUGCAAGUCAGGUGUGAAAUCUCGGGGCUCAACCUCGAAACUGCGCCUGAAACUGCAUGUCUAGAAUCUUGGAGAGGAAAGCGGAAUUUCGCAUGUAGGGGUAAAAUCCGUAGAGAUGCGAAGGAACACCAGAGGCGAAGGCGGCUUUCUGGACAAGUAUUGACGCUGAGGCGCGAAAGCGUGGGGAGCAAACAGGAUUAGAUACCCGAGUAGUC